AUUGAACGCUGGCGGCAUGCCUUACACAUGCAAGUCGAACGGCAGCACGGGAGCAAUCCUGGUGGCGAGUGGCGAACGGGUGAGUAAUGUAUCGGAACGUGCCCAGUCGUGGGGGAUAACGUAGCGAAAGCUACGCUAAUACCGCAUACGAUCUAUGGAUGAAAGCGGGGGAUCGCAAGACCUCGCGCGAUUGGAGCGGCCGAUAUCAGAUUAAGUAGUUGGGGGGGUAAAGGCUCACCAAGCCGACGAUCUGUAGCUGGUCUGAGAGGACGACCAGCCACACUGGGACUGGGACAGGGCCACGACGCCUACGGGAGGCAGCAGUGGGGAAUUUUGGACAAUGGGCGCAAGCCUGAUCCAGCAAUGCCGCGUGCAGGAUGAAGGCCUUCGGGUUGUAAACUGCUUUUGUACGGAACGAAACGGCGAGCUCUAAUACAGUUUGCUAAUGACGGUACCGUAAGAAUAAGCACCGGCUAACUACGUGCCAGCAGCCGCCGUAA
rnacentral:rRNA from 1 species